rnacentral:rRNA from 2 species
CGAGAAAACUUUGCAAUGUGCGAAAGCACGACAAGGUUAAUCCGAGUGUUUUCUGCUAAAGAAAUCUUUUGUCAGUCCUAAAAACACUGAUGAAUAAGGGGUGGGCAAGUUCUGGUGUCAGCCGCCGCGGUAAAACCAGCACCUCAAGUGGUCAGGAGGAUUAUUGGGCCUAAAGCAUCCGUAGCCGGCUCUGUAAGUUUUCGGUUAAAUCUAUGUGCUCAACACAUGGGCUGCCGGGAAUACUGCAAAGCUAGGGAGUGGGAGAGGUAGACGGUACUCCGUAGGAAGGGGUAAAAUCCUUCGAUCUAUGGAUGACCACCUGUGGCGAAGGCGGUCUACCAGAACACGUCCGACGGUGGGGAUGAAAGCUGGGGGAGCAAACCGGAUUAGAUACCCGGGUAGUCCCAGCUGUAAACUAUGCAAACUCGGUGAUGCAUUGGCUUGUAGCCAGUGCAGUGCCGCAGGGAAG